rnacentral:lncRNA from 1 species
AACGGUGAAAAAAAAAUCACGGGAGACAUUCUUACAGUCCAGAGACAGCAGUGGGUUUGUCAAUAUCAGUGGAGAGAAAGAUUCCAGAGAGGGAAAAUGCUGCAAAAGACACAGUGACUUGCUGGAUACACCUGAAAAUGUAGAAUAUCAGUUCUAGAGCUAAAAAGUCACCACCAUGACUGAACAUAUUUCUACUACCCCCAAAUUCUCCACUUAGCGUACUUUUUAUUUCUUUUCUCUUUAGAACAAAGUAAAAAACAAAUCUCAAUUUUAGGAACCAAUGAAAAAUGUAAUUCAUUCUACAGCUGACUUGGCUUGACCAUUCCUCUCAUAGAAUGUGAAAGAAGAGCCGGAAAGCACAUCUGGUUACCUACUCUAAUGGGUGCAGAAAUGGAUCUAACAGGAAGGGGAAGCCAUAUAAUACUCCCCAAGAAUGUUUAAAAGAGGAUUCUUCAGCAUUUCAUGGAAAACAGGAGUCUUAAGGGAACAUCCUAGGAACAUAAGGAAAGAGAUGCUAUUUUAUUCAAAGCUGAAACCAGACCCACCUGCUAUUAAAUAUAUAUGUAAGUUUAACUUAUAGAUCUAGACAUCUAAAGUAACUAAAGGACUCUCGUAAAGUACUUGUAUUGGCAUACUUCAUGGCCUCCAUUUUGUGCCUGCAAUUCUGUACUAAUUGGUAUUGACCAGCAAAAUUAUACAUAUUCCCUUCACCCCAAAUGAUAGCUUUGCUCACAC